GACGAACGCUGGCGGCGUGCUUAACACAUGCAAGUCGAACGGGAUCCGGGCUUUCGGGUUUGGUGAGAGUGGCGAACGGGUGAGUAACACGUGAGUAACCUGCCCCCUUCUUUGGGAUAACGUCGGGAAAUCGGCGCUAAUACUGGAUAUUCUUGCUGCAUCGCAUGGUGUGGUUUGGAAAGGGUUUCUGGUGGGGGAUGGGCCCGCGGCCUAUCAGCUUGUUGGUGGGGUGAUGGCCUACCAAGGCUUUGACGGGUAGCCGGCCUGAGAGGGUGUCCGGCCACACUGGGACUGAGACACGGCCCAGACUCCUACGGGAGGCAGCAGUGGGGAAUAUUGCACAAUGGGCGCAAGCCUGAUGCAGCGACGCCGCGUGAGGGAUGACGGCCUUCGGGUUGUAAACCUCUUUCAGUAUGGAACAAGGAUCCUUCUUUUGGGGGGUUUGAGGGUACGUGCAGAAGAAGCGCCGGCUAACUACGUG
rnacentral:rRNA from 1 species